CACCAAAUAGAAACAAAAGAUCAGAAAAAAAAUGGAAGAAAAAUGGAGCUCCGACUGAAUCAAGUAGGCCGACUAUCAAUAAGCGAGUUUCACCUCGAUAAUGGAGUCUGAAGCCGAACAGCUAUGGUAAAUAUGACUCCUAUACUCCUCUUUCUGCUCUCCGUAUACAGAUCUUGAUGGAGAUCGAAGAAAAGGAGUAUCUUUGACACCCCCUGCCAAUGAAGGCACCAUCAAAGAGCCAUGACAGAAAGAAAUACUGUCAGUU
rnacentral:lncRNA from 1 species